UUAAAACGAAAUAUAUUGGGAAACUCCAAUUCAAUUGUAAGAAAUUUUCUGCUGUUUGUUCCUAAGUAUCUAAAUUCUGCUAUACAUUUUUCUUUCAUAUAGUUAUAUCCCAUAAUUCACCAUAGAAUUUAAUUGUAGCCACCAGAUGUCCCUAUUGCCGUUCAGUAGGGCGCACAGCUGCACACGUGUCCCAAGUUCUCAACGUGCUCUGAAAUUUAAAAAAAUCCAUUUAGUUGUUUGAACCUAUUUAAUGGUGUUGGAAAUCAACUGAUUUUGAAUUUCUUAUCAAUGUCCUGUUGUUCUACUCGACGGGCAUUGAUUUUAUUUCUUGUGGGCGAAGCUAUAAAUUUUUUCUGGCCGUGUGUAAAACGGGUUGUUUGAAAUUUCGAAGCUCGCCGUUCCAUUAAAUCAAUCACUCCAAAAAUCAUCUUCUGACGUGGAAUGGAUUCUAACGGAAAGGAGGAUCUGCCCUUUGCCCAUCGAGAAACUUGGUCUCCAUUACAAGUUUCAAUUGGAGAUGAACCCUCAAGUUUGAUCUCAUCGUUACGCGCUGAAGGAGCUCUUCUUGCUGCUUAAUCACUGGGCAUAAGGUGAGUUGAUAGCAGAGAAGGAUGGCUACUCGCGUUUCCUUCUCGAUGCCUUUAGCCUCUGUGUGUCUAGCCGACGCCCUGUAGGCAUCGUUGCAUCACGUCCUGUCGUUACAUUAGUCACAAACUGGAGAACACCGGCGGCGCAAAUGGGCAAAAAAAAAGAAAAGAAGAAAAGAAAACGAAAAAAACAAGGACAUUAUUCAACACUUGUGGGAGUUUUAAGUGUUUUCGACGCAAGAAAAACAUUAAGGGAAUCCGCUGAAAUGGGCCCGGAUGUCUCGACAACUAUCCGCAUGCCCAUUGAAUACAAGAGCGCAAGUUGUUGUGUAACUUGUUCAUAUCGACAUUCAUCCGCUUUGUUCUCUGCGUCCAAAAUCAAAGUUUGAAGUGAAUGGAGAAAAAAAUAAUAAAAAGAAAUCAGUUAUAUAACGCAUUUAUACGUCAAGUACUUUAUUUAAAUAUUCAUUUUAUUCAACUCUUCGUUUGCCGAUGCAUGCUAGCAGAUGAGAUCCGACCGUCAAGUUACUUUCGCCCCGUUUGAUCGUCCUCCCCCCCCUUUUUCUUUUAUUUCCUCCCUCCCACAUCGAACAAACUAUGAAGUGCGUUGGGUGGUGUCUUAUCCCUAAUACAUAGUCGUAAACGGA